CAGCCGUAAACUAUGCUCGCUAGGUGUCAGGCAUGGCGCGACCGUGUCUGGUGCCGCAGGGAAGCCGUGAAGCGAGCCACCUGGGAAGUGCGGCCGCAAGGCUGAAACUUAAAGGAAUUGGCGGGGGAGCACAACAACGGGUGGAGCCUGCGGUUUAAUUGGACUCAACGCCGGACAACUCACCGGGGGACGACAGCAAUAUGUAGGCCAGGCUGAAGACCUUGCCUGAAUCGCUGAGAGGUGGUGCAUGGCGUCAGUGACU
rnacentral:rRNA from 1 species